GUGAGGAAUAUUGGUCAAUGGGCGGGAGCCUGAACCAGCCAAGUCGCGUGAAGGAAGAAGGAUCUAUGGUUCGUAAACUUCUUUUGUGCAGGAAUAAAGUGGGUUACGUGUAACCUUUUGUAUGUACUGUACGAAUAAGGAUCGGCUAACUCCGUGCCAGCAGCCGCGGUAAUACGGAGGAUCCGAGCGUUAUCCGGAUUUAUUGGGUUUAAAGGGUGCGUAGGUGGAUUGAUAAGUCAGCGGUGAAAGUUUGCAGCUUAACUGUAAAAUUGCCGUUGAAACUGUCGGUCUUGAGUGCAAAUGAGGUAGGCGGAAUGUGUUGUGUAGCGGUGAAAUGCUUAGAUAUAACACAGAACUCCGAUUGCGAAGGCAGCUUACUGGGAUGCAACUGACACUGAUGCACGAAAGCGUGGGUAUCAAACAGGAUUAGAUACCCGAGUAGUCC
rnacentral:rRNA from 1 species